AUGACUGAAGAAAACUUCAGUGGAGUUUGGAGUGAGAUCAAACUAGAGCAGUCUCCCUCUGAGGUGAAGAGACCUGGAGAGAGAGUGAAGGUGUCAUGCAUCAUAUCUGGCUAUACCCUGACAGAGUACUAUUUGCACUGGAUACGACAGAGGCCAGGGAGAGCUCUGGAGUGGAUUGGUAGAAUGGAUACAGGAAAAAACUCUGCUCGCUAUGCCAGUACUUUCCAAAGCCGUUUCGUCAUGACUGAAGAAGACUCCAGCAGCAGACAGUACCUCGAAAUCAAGAGCCUGACAGCAGAAGAUUCUGCUGUUUACUUCUGUGCCCGUUACAGCACAGUGACUGAAAACAGAGGAAGAGCUGUACAAAAACACCAACUACUAAAGGGAUCUCACUGA